rnacentral:lncRNA from 1 species
UGUCCAGUACAUCGUUCUCUAACAUGUACCUAUGCAUUGACUUAAUAUCUCAUAUAUUUAUGACCAAUGAGAUUUGGUCAUCAGUCAAUCCACAUACUAGUCUCAAUGCAUCAUUGUUGUCCCAUCAACAAUAAUACUCGACUAGGGACAUUUAAGAACACUGAUACUAAUGGUAAUAUAUAAUCUCAUGUUUCAGUCACAUACUUGAAACUAUAUAAUUUGUAUCACUAUUCUAAGGAAUUUUAUUAUGUUAACAAUUAUAUUACGCAGUAAAUAAAACCAUAAUAAAAUC